CAGGUCUUGACAUCCCGUUGACCACUGUAGAGAUAUGGUUUCCCCUUCGGGGGCAAUGGUGACAGGUGGUGCAUGGUUGUCGUCAGCUCGUGUCGUGAGAUGUUGGGUUAAGUCCCGCAACGAGCGCAACCCUUGAUCUUAGUUGCCAUCAUUUAGUUGGGCACUCUAAGGUGACUGCCGGUGACAAACCGGAGGAAGGUGGGGAUGAUGUCAAAUCAUCAUGCCCCUUAUGACCUGGGCUACACACGUGCUACAAUGGACGAUACAAACGGUUGCCAACUCGCGAGAGGGAGCUAAUCCGAUAAAGUCGUUCUCAGUUCGGAUUGUAGGCUGCAACUCGCCUACAUGAAGCCGGAAUCGCUAGUAAUCGCGGAUCAGCAUGCCGCGGUGAAUA
rnacentral:rRNA from 1 species